AACACGUAAGUAACCUGCCUGGUAGCGUAGGAUAACUAGUGGAAACGAUAUCUAAUACCGAAUAAGAGUGGAUGUAUCAUGACAUUUGCGUAAAAUGUGAGCUUGCAUCACUUCCAGAUGGACCUGCGUUGU
rnacentral:rRNA from 1 species